UGCUGAUAUGGCUCAGUUGGUAGAGCGCACCCUUGGUAAGGGUGAGGUCCCCAGUUCGACUCUGGGUAUCAGCACC
rnacentral:tRNA from 4 species